CAUCCUCCAAGGCUAAAUACUCCUGACUGACCGAUAGUGAACCAGUACCGUGAGGGAAAGGCGAAAAGAACCCCGGCGAGGGGAGUGAAAAAGAACCUGAAACCGUGUACGUACAAGCAGUGGGAGCACAGGUUUACCUGUGUGACUGCGUACCUUUUGUAUAAUGGGUCAGCGACUUAUAUUCUGUAGCAAGGUUAACCGAAUAGGGGAGCCGGAGGGAAACCGAGUCUUAAUUGGGCGUUAAGUUGCAGGGUAUAGACCCGAAACCCGGUGAUCUAGCCAUGGGCAGGUUGAAGGUUGGGUAACACUAACUGGAGGACCGAACCGACUAAUGUUGAAAAAUUAGCGGAUGACCUGUGGCUGGGGGUGAAAGGCCAAUCAAACCGGGAGAUAGCUGGUUCUCCCCGAAAGCUAUUUAGGUAGCGCCUCGUGAAUUCAUCUCCGGGGGUAGAGCACUGUUUCGGCUAGGGGGCCAUCCCGGCUUACCAACCCGAUGCAAACUGCGAAUACCGGAGAAUGUUAUCACGGGAGACACACGGCGGGUGCUAACGUCCGUCGUGAAGAGGGAAACAACCCAGACCGCCAGCUAAGGUCCCAAAGUCAUGGUUAAGUGGGAAACGAUGUGGGAAGGCCCAGACAGCCAGGAUGUUGGCUUAGAAGCAGCCAUCAUUUAAAGAAAGCGUAAUAGCUCACUGGUCGAGUCGGCCUGCGCGGAAGAUGUAACGGGGCUAAACCAU
rnacentral:rRNA from 2 species